CCGCCCGUCACACCAUGGGAGUUGAUUGCACCUGAAGCAGGUAGCCUGACCGCAAGGAGGGCGCCUACCACGGUGUGGUCAAUGACUGGGGUG
rnacentral:rRNA from 1 species